CGAGUCGGCCGGGCGGUCGCGUCGGCGCCCCCCGCGGGCGCCGCCGAGGAACGUCCGGACUCCACAGGGCAGGGUGGUUGCUAACGGCAACCCGGGGCGACCCGCGGGACAGUGCCACAGAAAACAGACCGCCGGCACCACGGUGCCGGUAAGGGUGAAACGGUGGAGUAAGAGCCCACCAGCACCCCGGGUGACCGGGGUGGCUCGGUAAACCCCACCCGGAGCAAGGCCAAGCAAGGCCACCGCCGCAAGGCGGUGACCGGCGCAGGCGUUCGAGGGCUGCCCGCCCGAGCCUGCGGGUAGGCCGCACGAGCCUGCCGGCGACGGCAGGCCGAGAUGGAUGGCCGCCACCGGUGACCUGGUCACCGGCUACAGAAUCCGGCGUACAGGCCGACUCGUCCG
rnacentral:RNase_P_RNA from 1 species